rnacentral:lncRNA from 1 species
GGAGAAGAGAAGACUGUGGGUUUAAACUAAAAAAAGGGAGAUUUAGAUGGAAUAUUAGGAGAGAAUUCUUUACUCAUAGGGUGGUGAAGUGCUGGAAUAGGUUGCAUAGAAAGGUUGUGGAUGCCCCAUGUCUGGAGGCAUUCAAGGCCAGGUUGUACGGGCCCUGGACAUCCUGAUCUUGUGGCCAUUCUGUGAUUAUAUGAAAUAACUCAGAGGAGUAAUUUGCUGUGAAAGAACAGAUCCAUUCUCAACCAGUGACACCCUGAGAAGCACAGAAAAAAUUUACCGUGCUAGCUUGCCUGCCUACUCUCUGACAAUGCAAUGUGUACGUAGCACAUCAAAGAAGAAACUUGGAUGAAUUAUUAUAUACUAAGUGGAGAUGACAGAGUUCAUAUUGGCCUUCUUAGAGCUUACAUUAAGCAUUUCAGAAAGCAACUGGAGGAACCCAAUUGGACACAACUAUAAGGUUUCAUCACUACAUGGAUUGCUGUGUUGCUACAGACAUAACCAUCACUGGCAUAAGGCUGGCUGCCUCAGUCCUUCAUGCAAAGAGGGUAAAGAUGCACUUGAAAUUUUGAAAAAAAUCAUCAGUUUCACCUAAUAAACUGAGAAGUCUUCUUCUCUUUUGCUGGUACAUUCCUGACUGCU